rnacentral:lncRNA from 1 species
GACACCCAGUCUUGCAGGAGGCAAGACCCCAGCCCAGUUGUUUUGGGACCCCAUCACUCCUUCGUCCUCAGGGCACUUCGAUCCCCAUCGUGUAGACGUUGAGGUGUGGUCCGUGGAUGUGAGGACGUUGGGGUCUCCUGUUUCCUGAGUGCCAGGGGCGCAGUGUCAGCUUCCACCAGGUCCUAAGCAAAGCGCGCGUCAGCAACUUUCCAUUGCUCUGGAAAAGCCUUCCUCCUCAGCCACCUACUCUUAUAAAUUCCGAGAGCCCUCAGCACAAGUAUUAUUACUGUGAAUGUUUUCCUCAAACGCUGGGAUCUUGUCCCCAGCUUUGCUGCUGCUACUCUAAUUCACAAAGUCCUCUUCACACGUAUUAUCAUUUCAAAAUCUUUUCAUCAAGUGCUGGGAUCUUUUCCCCAGCUUUUCUGCACCACUCUGACAAAUUACCCAUCUCAGCCUCCAUUUGAUGCGUCAAGCUGCAAUGACGAAGGACCCCACACUGUCCAAAACUGUCUCUCAUUCAUGCCCUGUGUGCAUUGGGGUUGGCAGAGGCUCUGCUCCCUCUGACUCACUCUGGGUUGGGGAGGGGGCAGGCUGACUUCUGGGACUGCUGUCACCUGGAGUGGCGCGGUCAUUGUGAUGUGAUGGUGAGAAAGGGGUAAUACGGACACCCUGUCUCUUAAAGCCUUCUACCCAGAGGGACUCUGGUCCCUUGCGCUUAUUUUCAGCCAGAGAGAUUAUGUGGCCAUUGCCUUCUUCAAAGAGGUGGGGAGCUGGGAUUCACCACGUGCCGGGAGGGGAGCACGAGGAUGACAGGGGCACCGCUUUCCUGAUUACCGUAAUACCUGCAAUUAGGUUUGUUUUGUUUUGUUUUCUGGUUUUUUUUGAGAGCGGUUUCGUGGGUCAGACACUGUCACCCUAAUUUGCGCCUGUCGUAUUAGCUCCCUUCUCACAGCAGGUGUGAACCGUGAUGAUCUUUAUUUUACACGCAGGCUGGCAGAGGAUGCGUAAGUUCUCGAGGCUGCAAGAUAGCACUGGGCAGAGCUGGCUGUCUCCCCGGAGCUGUGGCUCUUAGCCGUGGCAUGAGGUUGCCGCAGGAUUCUUUUGAGGCCCACGCUGCAGGGACAAGGAACGUGCCAUUCCUGGAACGUCGCUCACGGUGCCUGUGUGGGCAAUGCCACCCAGAGAAAUACCGUACCAUCCCGAGGCCAGGUUUUGCAGCGCGUGAACGAUCGAUUACAUUCUGGCUUCUUCUGGGUCAGAUACCUGGGCUCCCUCUUCAUUACCGGUUUUGCAGUGAUAGGAAUCCUCCUGAUAUGUCCGUUUCCACUUCAUUAGAGACCAUUUCUUUACCGUGUUUCUGACAUUGGACUCACCCCUCUCCAUGAACUGUCUCCUUCGCUCUUACUCAUCCUCAUGUAAUAAAUGAGAAGGGAGGGUCAUACGUGUCGUAAGUUGCAGAGUCAGGACUGAAAUCCACAAUUGUCUGACUCAAAAGUUGCCAUCAAAACCAUGUGCGCCUUAGGGUGUGAGGAAAAAUACUUUCAGUACCCAAGGUUCUUACAGAGUACUCCUUUGGUGCAAGCUGCUUGGGGUAUCCAUGAGGAUGCGGGUUCGAUCCCUGGCCCUGCUCAGUGGGUUAAGGAUCCCACGUUGCCCAAGCUUUGGCGUAGGUUGCAGAUGUGGCUUGGAUCUGGCAUUACUGUGGCUGUGGUGUAGACCAGCAGCCGCAGCUCCGAUUCAACCCCUAGCCUGGGGACCUCCAUAUGCUGCAGAUG